AGGGAAUAUUGCGCAAUGGGGGAAACCCUGACGCAGCAAUACCGCGUGAGUGAGGAAGGUCUUCGGAUUGUAAAGCUCUGUCAGUAGGGAAACAUGGCACUGCCGUGAAUAAUGGUGGUGUUUGAUGGUACCUGCAAAGGAAGCACCGGCAAACUUCGUGCCAGCAGCCGCGGUAAUACGAAGGGUGCAAGCGUUGUUCGGAUUUAUUGGGUUUAAAGGGUGCGUAGGCGGUCCUAUAAGUCAGUGCUGAAAUAUCCCGGCUUAACCGGGAGGGUGGCAUUGAUACUGCAGGGCUUGAGUAAAGUUGAGGUGGGCGGAAUUGACGGUGUAGCGGUGAAAUGCUUAGAUAUCGUCAAGAACACCGAUUGCGAAGGCAGCUCACUAAGCUUUAACUGACGCUGAGGCACGAAAGUGUGGGGAUCAAA
rnacentral:rRNA from 1 species